rnacentral:rRNA from 1 species
UACGAAGGGGGCUAGCGUUGUUCGGAAUUACUGGGCGUAAAGCGCGCGCAGGCGGUUCUUCAAGUCAGAGGUGAAAGCCCAGAGCUCAACUCUGGAAUGGCCUUUGAGACUAGAGAACUAGGGUACGGGAGAGGUGAGUGGAAUUCCGAGUGUAGAGGUGAAAUUCGUAGAUAUUCGGAAGAACACCAGUGGCGAAGGCGACUUACUGGACAACUGUUGACGCUGAGGUGCGAAAGCGUGGGGAGCAAACAGG